CGGGAUGUGGCCUAGCCCGGUUUAAGGCGUCUGGCUUGGGACCAGAAGAGCGGGGGUUCAAAUCCCUCCAUCCCGA
rnacentral:tRNA from 2 species